AUUGAACGCUGGCGGCAGGCCUAACACAUGCAAGUCGAGCGGGGUUUUCGGACCUAGCGGCGGACGGGUGAGUAAUGCGUAGGAAGCUACCCGAUAGAGGGGGAUACCAGUUGGAAACGACUGUUAAUACCGCAUAAUGUCUACGGACCAAAGUGUGGGACCUUCGGGCCGCAUGCUAUCGGAUGCGCCUACGUGGGAUUAGCUAGUUGGUGGGGUAAUGGCUCACCAAGGCGACGAUCCCUAGCUGGUUUGAGAGGAUGAUCAGCCACACUGGAAAUGAGACACGAUCCAGACUCCUACGGGAGGCAGCCGUGGGGAAUAUUGGACAAUGGGCGCAAGCCUGAUCCAGCCAUGCCGCGUGUGUGAAGAAGGCCUUCGGGUUGUAAAGCACUUUCAGUAGGGAGGAAGGGUUAAGUGUUAAUAGUACUUAACUUUGACGUUACCUACAGAAGAAGCACCGGCUAACUCUGUGCCAGCAGCCGCGGUAACAC
rnacentral:rRNA from 1 species